GACGAACGCUGGCGGCGUGCUUAACACAUGCAAGUCGAACGGAAAGGCCUCUUUCGGGGGGUACUCGAGUGGCGAACGGGUGAGCAACACGUGAGUAACCUGCCCUUGACUUUGGGAUAACUUCAGGAAACUGGGGCUAAUACCGGAUAGGAGCUCCUGCUGCAUGGUGGGGGUUGGAAAGUUUCGGCGGUUGGGGAUGGACUCGCGGCUUAUCAGCUUGUUGGUGGGGUAGUGGCUUACCAAGGCUUUGACGGGUAGCCGGCCUGAGAGGGUGACCGGCCACAUUGGGACUGAGAUACGGCCCAGACUCCUACGGGAGGCAGCAGUGGGGAAUAUUGCACAAUGGGUGGAAGCCUGAUGCAGCAACGCCGGGUGCGGGAUGACGGCCUUCGGGUUGUAAACCGCUUUCGCUCAUGACGAAGCUUUGUGUGACGGUAGUGGGUAAAGAAGCACCGGCUAACUACGUG
rnacentral:rRNA from 1 species